AGAGUUUGAUCCUGGCUCAGGACGAACGCUGGCGGCGUGCCUAAUACAUGCAAGUCGAGCGAGCUUGCCUAGAUGAUUUUAGUGCUUGCACUAAAUGAAACUAGAUACAAGCGAGCGGCGGACGGGUGAGUAACACGUGGGUAACCUGCCCAAGAGACUGGGAUAACACCUGGAAACAGAUGCUAAUACCGGAUAACAACACUAGACGCAUGUCUAGAGUUUGAAAGAUGGUUCUGCUAUCACUCUUGGAUGGACCUGCGGUGCAUUAGCUAGUUGGUAAGGUAACGGCUUACCAAGGCAAUGAUGCAUAGCCGAGUUGAGAGACUGAUCGGCCACAUUGGGACUGAGACACGGCCCAAACUCCUACGGGAGGCAGCAGUAGGGAAUCUUCCACAAUGGACGAAAGUCUGAUGGAGCAACGCCGCGUGAGUGAAGAAGGGUUUCGGCUCGUAAAGCUCUGUUGGUAGUGAAGAAAGAUAGAGGUAGUAACUGGCCUUUAUUUGACGGUAAUUACUUAGAAAGUCACGGCUAACUACGUGCCAGCAGCCGCGGUAAUACGUAGGUGGCAAGCGUUGUCCGGAUUUAUUGGGCGUAAAGCGAGUGCAGGCGGUUCAAUAAGUCUGAUGUGAAAGCCUUCGGCUCAACCGGAGAAUUGCAUCAGAAACUGUUGAACUUGAGUGCAGAAGAGGAGAGUGGAACUCCAUGUGUAGCGGUGGAAUGCGUAGAUAUAUGGAAGAACACCAGUGGCGAAGGCGGCUCUCUGGUCUGCAACUGACGCUGAGGCUCGAAAGCAUGGGUAGCGAACGGGAUUAGAUACCCUGGUAGUCCAUGCCGUAAACGAUGA
rnacentral:rRNA from 1 species